CGCGAAGGGCUCAUUAUAACAGCUAUCAUUUACUUGAUCUUGACACAAUCCUACUUGGAUAACUGUGGUAAUUCUAGAGCUAAUACAUGCAUUAAAGCUCUGACCGCAAGGGAAGAGUGCACUUAUUAGAACAAAACCAAGCGGCUUCGGCUGUUUUCGGUUGACUCAUAGUAACUGAGCUGAUCGCACGGUCUUGCACCGGCGACGUGUCUUUCAAGUAUCUGCCGUAUCAACUUUCGAUGGCAGUGUAUCUGACUACCAUGGUGAUCACGCGUAACGGAGAAUAAGGGUUCGGCUCCGGAGAGUUCGCCUGAGAAAUCGCGAACACAUCUAAGGAAGGCAGCAGGCGCGAAAAUUACCCACUCUCAGCACGAGGAGGUAGUGACGAAAAAUAACGAGACCGUUCUCUUAUGAGGCCGGUCAUCGGAAUGGGUACAAUUUAAACCCUUUAACGAGUAUCUAUGAGAGGGCAAGUCUGGUGCCAGCAGCCGCGGUAAUUCCAGCU
rnacentral:rRNA from 1 species